GACGAACGCUGGCGGCGUGCCUAAUACAUGCAAGUUGAGCGCUGAAGGUUGGUACUUGUACCAACUGGAUGAGCAGCGAACGGGUGAGUAACGCGUGGGGAAUCUGCCUUUGAGCGGGGGACAACAUUUGGAAACGAAUGCUAAUACCGCAUAAAAACUUUAAACACAAGUUUUAAGUUUGAAAGAUGCAAUUGCAUCACUCAAAGAUGAUCCCGCGUUGUAUUAGCUAGUUGGUGAGGUAAAGGCUCACCAAGGCGAUGAUACAUAGCCGACCUGAGAGGGUGAUCGGCCACAUUGGGACUGAGACACGGCCCAAACUCCUACGGGAGGCAGCAGUAGGGAAUCUUAGGCAAUGGAAGAAAGUCUGACCGAGCAACGCCGCGUGAGUGAAGAAGGUUUUCGGAUCGUAAAACUCUGUUGGUAGAGAAGAACGUUGGUGAGAGUGGAAAGCUCAUCAAGUGACGGUAACUACCCAGAAAGGGACGGCUAACUACGUG
rnacentral:rRNA from 1 species